AUGCAGGUUGUUAGUGGUGGACAGUCACUUUGGAUAUACACUCUGCUAUUUACUUCUCUACAACUCUGGGGAAGACUAUCAGCUUCCACUUCCUCUCCCACUCUUCCGGCACCUGAACUUAGCAUUCAUUUAAGGUCAAAGAACUCUGUGGUUCUGGUCUGCCGGGCCCCAGAAGGCCACCAUGGGGUUGUGUUCAUGUUGUACCGAAGCAGAGAGCAGGUGGACGCUCAGGAGCAGCAGUCUGGUGCUGAGGAGGUCCGGUUCACUGUGAGGUUAAAGGAAACUGAUUCAGACCAAGCUGAACUCUAUUGCUGUCUGUACAAGAACCGAGAUGGACGUUACAGUGCGUUCAGUCCCUAUUUGCAGCUGGACCUGCAAAAAGUUGCUGCAUCUGCUCCCUCCAUACCCUCUGUCCCUCCUCCCGUAUUGUCUGUGCAGCCCUCGACUGGUGUGGUAAAACGAGGUGACAUGCUAUCCUUCAGCUGCUUGGUUCCCCCCCUGGGGUCCCAGUCUCAGCCCCAGUCAAGCUACAACAACAAACCAGUGACCUUCCUUUUGCUGAGGACUGCUAAGCGAACAGGGGCAACAUCCAUUAUCCUGCAACCUAAAGCCAAUCUGUUAUCGGACCCUAAACCCCAGCCGGGAGUCUUCACUGUGGGGCCAGUGACGGGAGGAGAGGAGGGCGGGUACACCUGCAUUUACCAGAUCACCAAAAAAAGGGGAUUGAUUAAUUCAACUGUCAGCAACAUGGUUCAAAUCACUAUUACAGACACGUUACCAGUGCCCACCCUUGUUCUCCAGCAGCAGACAGAAGUGUGGCAUUUGCUCUGCGCAGCGUCUCCUGCGUACCCUGGCGCCAUGUUCUUCCUCUACCUGGCUGACAAUGAACUUCCUGUUGCCACUCACCAGGCCCCCUUAAUCCACCAUCAGGCUACCUUCUCAGUGCCUGUCCAGGACACUCCAAUGGCUUGGUAUCAGUGCCAGUACAGUGUCCUCCUAGGAAGGAAAUGGAGCAACUCUGAGCGCAGUCUUCCUUUGGCUGUAACCAGAGGAAUCCCCCCUUCAUCAUCACCAGGUGUGUCUAAUGUAGACUGGCCUCUUGUACUGGGCUCUUUCUCCGCUGUGGUUUUGUUCCUCUGUUCAGUUGCAGUCAUAGCUGUGGUGGCACACAGGAGAGUAAAAGAAACAGCGGAGGAAAAGAAAAAAAGACAAGAAUCACAGUUCUGGACUCAAGUUCAUUCUAAGGACCAUGUUGUGGACCUUACACUCAGGCGCACAAGCUUCACCUCUCAGGUAAAUAUUCAUCAAUACUUAAGCUUGUAA
rnacentral:lncRNA from 15 species